UGAGCUUGCCUUUCCCCAACUGAGGGGUGAGAGGCCUGGCUGGAAGAAACUGGCUGCACAUAAUUUAUUUCUGACACAUAUUGGAGUAGACUACUCAUUCCUUGAAAAAUAUGGCGAAGACUCAGUGAAGACAAAAAGUGUUAUAAAAACGUGGCAUCAUCGCAAUGAGGGACAGUUACUUCUUGAGAAGACCUUGAACCUCAUAUUUGGCAAAAUGUUUCUAGGGCCACCAAAUGGAGGACAGAGGACAGAGACAAGUCUGGGUCCUGAAGGAGUCAGUGACCUCAUAGGGAUGGGACACUCCUCCACUUCACAGGUCCACGGUGUUCCUCAACAACACUGACAUGUCCAUGCCUCACAUAUCUAAGAUUCAUUUUCCUUUUCAGCCAUUACAAGUCUUACUGACACCUCAACUAAUGGAUGCUGAUUUUCAAAACAGAUUAGAACAUCGACACUCCUAGAAGUUAAAAUAUUUUCUUCUGGCGCUCCAUUGGAUCAUCCGCAUACUCCACAGGUCCAGGUCUGAAGGACCAGGAAGUCCAGUUCUGUGAACUUUCAAAAUCCCAUGAAAAAGGCCCAUCCUCUUCCAAGUUCCUCCGCCGUGACUAGAGAUGGCUACAUUCUGCCGAGGAAACCAGCAGGGGUGUGGGCAGCCAGCUGCAGAUCUCAGGCAUCAGCACCCACUCAGGAACAGCCCAACGGAAGAGAUGCACAGGGCAAGGCCUGGUGUUGAGG
rnacentral:lncRNA from 1 species